GACGCUGAUGGCGUCACUGCCGGCUCCAUGAUGCCUGGGGGAGCAGCUGAGCCACACGCGUGCGCACUAGGGGUUCAGGAGUCAGGACGCGAGCGCCGCGGGCGGGGUAGGAGCUGUACCGUUCUGUUGCUCUCUCGCUCGCUUCCGUCACGUGCGCAGCUCCCCCUCCAAUCCCAUCCCUGCCAUGGCCCAGCUCCUGGCGCGAGCCGCGCUCCCCCAAAGGGCCAGGCCGGCGAGUCGGCUACUUAUAGCGCUGAGGUGGGGAGCGCUCUUCCCCCCAGGGUACCCCGCCCUGCCCCUGCCAGAGGGGGCACCUCGGGCUGCGGGCAGCCUGGCUCCACGUGGCUCCCGGAAGUAGCUGGCAUAUCCACUCCUAGGCACAGGGGUGGCUGCAGGGGCUCCAUUCACUGCCCCGUACCCCAGCACCCCCUAUGGCUCUGCAGCUCCCAUUGGCGGGAACGGCGGCCUUGGAGCCGGACAUGCUGGCUGCUUCCAGGAGCUGUGCGAAGCCAGGACAGACUGGGAGCCUUCCUUAGCCCUGCUGCACUGCCAACUGGGAGCCGCCUGAGAAUGUUCUGGACCUUUGUAGAACCUUUUAUGGCCUACUACAAAUGGAUGGAGGUCAAGUCCAGGCUCAAGCUGAAUAAAUGUAUAGAUGCAGAAAACCAGCGCAGCAUUUAUGUAGAAACUCAGCAUUGGAGGAAUGUGGUCAAGCAUCUGAUCUCAAUUACCCUCUUCCUUGCAAAGAAUAAUUUGCCUUUCUGAGGCUCGUCGGAUAAGUUGUUCACUGGACGUAGUAGUAAUUUCCUCUGUUUGGUAGAGCUUCUUGGGAAAUGCGUUGAUGUCAUGCAUGAGCACCUAUGCUGAGUAGUUUGUAAAGAAGCUGUGGACCAUUACUGCAGCGAAAUAAUUCAAAACAAAUGUAUUGACCUUAUGACAAGGAAGGUGCUUGAUAACCUAUUGAUGCGGCUUCGCCAAAGUGAAGUACUACGCCAUAAUAAUGGAUUGCACUCCCAACAUUAGUCACAGUUAAAAGAUGACAUUCACAGUAAGAUUUGUUGAUGACGGGGAUGGCUGUAUCCCUGUAAAGGAACACUAUCUGUUUCUGGUUUGUGGACAACUCUACUGGAAAAGGCCUAACAGAACUGUUUAUGAACAUUUUGAAUGAGAAUAAAAUAAAGCUUCAGGACUGC